CCCAGGAGUGUGAAGUGGCAACGUGCUGAUGGGUGCAACCUCCGUGCAUGGGUUCUUGAAAGAAUAGCCAUUGUUUCUGGAAAGUCAUCCUAGCCUGCUGUCCUCAGGCCUGCAGAGGCUGACUGCUUUACUCCUGAGAUAUUGCUGUUUGUCUGACCAAAUGCCCCCUCUCUGCUCAGGUUUUGUUCUAGGUGGAGCCACGCAGGAAUGGAGCAGAUUGCCUGUCACAUCCAGAAUUGUCCAAGCCGUAGAAGGAUUUCUGCUUGAUGUGAGAGACCAGGACAGAUGGUUUCUGAGGUGGUUUCAAAAAGUAAAUCUAAAACAACAGCAACAAAAAUGAUCAGAGAUAUACUCAAGAAGCCUGGGCCCACGGAAGCUGUCCAGUUUCUUCACUGUUCUUUUAGAGUGCUUCCAGAAUAUCUGAUGUGAGGAUCCCCUCCCCUUUAUAUUUUUAAUCAGAUAUAUCAAAGUGGUCGUGAGGUUGAGUUGGUCAGCAGCAGACUGAGAAGGGGGCUGUGUUCUGAACAUGUUUAAUUACUCUGGUUUGUGAUUUGGCUAAAGUCUCGUGACAAAAAUAAAAUCUGUUCCUGUGAAAGAGGCUCCCUGCA
rnacentral:lncRNA from 12 species